rnacentral:rRNA from 1 species
AAGCGCUUGCGACCAGACCCGCCCGGGGGCGAUCAGCGACCGUUCUCGGUCGUGCACUCGUCCCCGACCGGGCCAGCAUCGGUUCGGGCGGUCGGACAAAGGCGCGGGGAAUGUAGCUCCCUCCGGGGAGUGUUAUAGCCCUGCGUGCAAUGCGGCCAGCCUGGACCGAGGACCGCGCUUCGGCAAGGAUGCUGGCGUAAUGGUCGUCAGCGA